rnacentral:rRNA from 1 species
AGCUUAUCUAGAUGGCCACACCCGUUCCCUUUCCGAACACGGCCGUUAAGCAUCUAGAGCCGAUGGUAGUCUGUUAAGGGCGAGAGUAGGUUAUUGCCGGGU